GUGACAGCGGAGGGAUCAUUACAGAGUUGCAAACUCCUAACCAUUGUGAACGAACCCGUUAUAGUUGCUUCGGCGGGUGGUGCGCUGUAACCGCCCGCCGAUAGCAUGCAAUCUCUAGAUUACAGUGGAUCUCUGAGUCGCUUAUUUAAUAAGUCAAAACUUUCAACAACGGAUCUCUUGGUUCUGGCAUCGAUGAAGAACGCAGCGAAAUGCGAUAAGUAAUGUGAAUUGCAGAAUUCAGUGAAUCAUCGAAUCUUUGAACGCACAUUGCGCCCGCCAGUAUUCUGGCGGGCAUGCCUGUUCGAGCGUCAUUUCAACCAUCAAGCCCUGUCUAGGCUUGUGUUGGGGCCCUGCGGCUACCGCAGCCCCCUAAAUGCAGUGGCGGGCUCGUUGUCACUCCGAGCGCAGUAGCGUAUCUCGCUCUGGGCGUGGCGGCGGGUGCUAGCCGUGAAAUACUCACUUAAGGUUGACCUCGGAUCAGGUAGGAAUACCCGCUGAACUUAAGCAUAUCAAUAAGCGGAGGA
rnacentral:rRNA from 1 species